rnacentral:rRNA from 1 species
CCUGCCCCAUGCUCCAGAAUAGCUCUUGGAAACGGGUGGUAAUGCUGGAUGCUCCAACUUGACGCAUGUCUUGUUGGGAAAGUGUUUAGUGGCAUGGGGAUGGGGGUCGCGUCCUAUCAGCUUGUAGGCGGGGUAAUGGCCCACCUAGGCUUCGACGGGUAGCCGGCCUGAGAGGGCGGACGGCCACAUUGGGACUGAGAUACGGCCCAGACUCCACGGGGAGGCAGCAGUGGGGAAUAUUGCGCAAUGGGGAAAACCCUGACGCAGCGACGCCGCGUGCGGGAUGAAGGCCUUCGGGUUGUAAACCGCUUUUGAUUGGGGAGCAAGCUUUCGGGGUGAGUGUACCUUUCGAAUAAGCGCCGGCUAACUACGUGCCAGCAGCCGCGGUAAAU